UACGUAGGCAGCGAGCGUUGUUCGGAGUUACUGGGCGUAAAGGGUGUGUAGGCGGUUGUUUUAAGUUUGGUGUGAAAUCUCCCGGCUCAACUGGGAGGGUGCGCCGAAUACUGAAUGACUUGGAGUGCGGGAGAGGAGAGUGGAAUUCCUGGUGUAGCGGUGAAAUGCGUAGAUAUCGGGAGGAACACCUGUGGCGAAAAGCGGCUCACUGGACCACAACUGACGCUGAUGCACGAAAGCUAGGGGAGCAAACAGG
rnacentral:rRNA from 1 species